GACGAACUGUGCAAACGUUAUUCGGAAUCACUGGGCUUGAAGAGUGCGUAGGCGGUUUCGUAAGUAGGGUGUGAAAGCCCCCAGCUCAACUGGGGAACUGCGUCCUAAACUGCGAGGCUGGAGUGAGGUAGGGGUGUGUGGAACUUCCGGUGGAGCGGUGAAAUGUGUUGAUAUCGGAAGGAACGCCGGUGGCGAAAGCGGCUAUCUGGACAGAGUCUGACGCUGAGGCGCGAAAGCUAGGGGAGCAAACAGG
rnacentral:rRNA from 1 species